GUUUCAUUGUGCAGAUAAAGGAAAUAGGCAUAAGAUCACAGACUUCAAUCUAUCCAGCCUUAGUAUAACAGUUUGUAUUUUCCAGCAUGAAUGGGUAAGUCUCGAUGUGUUAUUGUUGUAGCAACUGGCUGAUAAACUGAUUGUUUUUUGGCAAACCUCUUACAAGUGUGCUGUCAGAAUGACACAGUACAGUAAAUAUCUUUAUAGCUUUUUAGAAGCCGCCUGCCAGUUUCAGUCCCCUUUUAAGGGGCAAACAUCUGGCCUUUGAAAUAAUUGGCCACUGUUAAGGUCUUAAGGUCUCUGGACUAUGCAGAAGUUACAGCUUUAACCUAAGUCACCCAUUGUGUAUUUGCUUUUGCUGGUCCUUGUCUCCCCCUUUAAUCUGAAUCUGUUUUUAUAGGAACCUUGAGAUAUGAUGUUAAAUAGCUACAGAUUUCUGUGCCCCUCCCCAUUGGGAACAUUGCAUGUGUUUGGAAAUCAGUCUGAUGUGUUAGAAGAUUCCGCGUUCACUUCCCACAGUGCUAUGUCACGGCCGUGUGAAUACAGAGAUCUGCAUCAAGAUGUCGCUGCUAUGACAAGGGCCAUCAGCAUGGAUUUCAUCGGCAUUUGGCAUACUAAUGCCAUCUUAUCUUAAAGAGAGAAAUUAGCAUUAUAAGGUCCUGGACUUGUCAGCUAUAAGGACUACAAAAUAUCACUUCUCCUGCUGAAAAAGACCAGCAAAAUUAGGAUUUUCUUUUUUCAUGUUUUUUUUUUUUAAAUUUCUGUUGUUGUUGUUGUUGUUGUUGUUGCUGUUGUUGUUGAUUAGGAUUUUAAUAGAGCAGAGACUUCUUCAAAUAACCACACUGUGAAGCUGGGUGAUGGUGGCAUGGACAGUGGGUGCCAGGUGCUACCUGCCCUUCUUGUUCCACUGAGUCCAGAUGGCAUUCUAGGGCACCACCUUCUUGAACAACUCUUGGGGAGGAAGACUGUCACAUGGACACAGCACAUCCCAGUCCAGAGUCCACAGUCACCCACAGCCCCAAGCAGGUGACAGUCUGAGCUGAGCUGGAAUUCAAAAAACUUUAGAAUUGGCUCCAGAUUUGUGAGAGGACCUGGGUUUGGAUCUCUGUCCAUGGAGGCACUGAAUGCACGAUGACCGGAAACAACAACUGUGGGAAGAGAGAAUGGCAUGGGGACAAGGCUGUCAUUACUCCAAGUACCAUGGGAACUCAGGCCUGUUCAUCUAGUCUUUGGAGGGAAUCUGUGCAUGUGAAAUGAGGCUCCCACAUCAUGGUUAUAAAUGGAGAGAUGAAAUCAGCUCAUCUUCCCCCAGGCCCACAAUGGUCAUGCCAAAACACAGAGUCUUGCUGUGUGGCCAGGCUGGAGCGCAGUGGUGAGAUCUCGGCUCUCUGCAACCACUGCCUCCUGGGUUCAAGUGACUCUCCUGCCUCAGCCUCCCAAGUAGUUGGGACUACAGGCAUGAACCACCAACCCAGCUAAUUUAUAUAUUCUUAGUAGAGACAGGGUUUCAUCAUGGUGGCCAGGACAGUCUUGAUCUCUUGACCUUGUGAUCUGCCUGCCUCAGCCUCCCAAAGUGCUGGGAUUACAGGUGAGAGCCACCGUGCCGGGCCACUUGCAUUUACAUUCACAAUAAAAUGGUUUGGAAUAUCCCACUGUUGAUUUGCGAUUUCCUCCUCUAAACUUGGUCUGUGGCCUUGUAUACAUAAUUAAAUAUUUUCCUGUAUUGAUAUUUUGUGUCUGAAGAUGAAAUAUUCGAUGAAACAUGUUUAAACAUUUCAUGCAAAGCCUUCAGUGGUUGUGAGCGUACUCUUUGGUGAAUGCACGAAUUAAUCUAUUUUAAAUAUAACAUUUUUAUUAGAUGUGAUAAUGAUAUUUUCUCUUUUAUCUUCACUUGUUAGAUGAGAAUAAAUAUGGAAUACGUUCUUCCAUAAUCUAUGAUAUUAUAUCUUAUAUUUCAUGUAAAAAACUCCUAGAAUAUUUGGAAUCGAUAGUUGAAAUUAAACAGCAAAAUGAGAAUUGCUGAAACCUAGUGAUAAUGUACUUGUGAUGGAUUUAUUAUCUAUUAUCUCUAUCAUUGUUAAUUUUUAAAGUUUCCAUGGAAAACUCUACUAUGAACUUAAAAUUUUCUAUAAAACCCUUCGUGCCCUGCACUUCAGCUCCAAUGCAUAAUGAAUAAAGGAAAAUGGAUUCUCCUGCGGGAAUUCUGCUGGACUCUUCCUUUCUUUUCCCUUUAACCUGCGGGGAGCAUCUUGAGGUCACCAUGGGGUGAGGCGACCAUGAGUGGGGACCCUAGAGCUGCCGCUGGGAGGAGUGUGUAUGUGGAGAUGGGUUUCUUGGCCACAUUUCUUCCUCGGGUGUUUCUGGUUGUGACGGUGGCUUUGAGGAUGGUUUCUGAGGAUCCUCUCAGGGGAGUCCUCCACUUGUGGUGUCUCCGCUGGGGGAAGGCCCGAGCAUAUCCAGAGAGGGAUUCAUAGGGUCGCCCCUGUGUGACAGAGGUGCCUUGUGCGUUUUAGGGGCGGUGGAG
ensembl:lncRNA